AACGAACGCUGGCGGCAUGCCUAACACAUGCAAGUCGAACGAGACCUUCGGGUCUAGUGGCGCACGGGUGCGUAACGCGUGGGAACCUGCCCUUAGGUUCGGAAUAACUCCCCGAAAGGGGUGCUAAUACCGGAUAAUGUCUUCGGACCAAAGAUUCAUCGCCUUUGGAUGGGCCCGCGUUGGAUUAGCUAGUUGGUAGGGUAAAAGCCUACCAAGGCGACGAUCCGUAGCUGGUCUGAGAGGAUGAUCAGCCACACUGGGACUGAGACACGGCCCAGACUCCUACGGGAGGCAGCAGUGGGGAAUAUUGGACAAUGGGCGAAAGCCUGAUCCAGCAAUGCCGCGUGAGUGAUGAAGGCCUUAGGGUUGUAAAGCUCUUUUACCCGGGAUGAUAAUGACAGUACCGGGAGAAUAAGCUCCGGCUAACUCCGUG
rnacentral:rRNA from 1 species